AAGCAAUUUGCUCAUAGCCAUAGCUUUCUUGUGAAAGUAGGAUAUUAACCCAGGUGUCUUGGUGCUGGAGAACAGAACUGGCCAGAGUCCAUCCUGUCUCCCACCGGCAUCCCAUUACGAAAUGAACACAGAAAAGGCAGGUCUGCAAUGCCAACAUCUAGUAUCUAUCCCAAAGACCAGGGAGAAAGGAAGGAAAGAUUCUGGUUCUGUCCUCUUCCCCAAGGCAAGGCUGGCUGCCCUACCAACAGAGGCAAAGAGAAGAGUGUGCAAGGCUGGCUGCCCUCCCAACAGAGGCAAAGAGGAGUGUGUGUUGAAAUAUCCAUUGAAUCCCUGAGACAACUGGAUCCUGGCCCAUUGAAUCAUAAACUCAUUUCAGAGAAGAUGAAACUGAUGUGCGUCAAAAAGUAAACUACCCACAUUUUAACUGGGCACAUUCCUGUCAAUCUGAUGAGAAUCUAUUUCAUACCCUGCUUUAGCUGGUAGUCUGUCAAGGAAAUGAGCUGAACAUGUCUGUGUACAGCUUUUGUGCCAUCCCUGGAUGAGCGAGCUGUCUGCCUCUAUGUUCUCCACAAAAUGGAAUAUAGCUGUACACCCAAGCCAAGUUAUGGAGGCUGGGAAGACCUAGAAUGUGGCAUCACUAUUUGCUGAAAUUUUUAAUAUAAUGCCUCUUAGCCUGGUUUGGAGAAAACGUCACAGAGAGGCACCAUUUGUUGUGGUUUUACAUGAAAAUUUUCUGACCCUGAACCUGGUUUGAUGGAAAUCAUUUGCUGAGGUUAUUUAGAAAAUUGUUACCUCAAAAAUGACCUAGGGGUCCUUAGAAUAAUAACACACAGAAGAAUAGCCUCAUUUUUCUGUUGGGCCCAGGAAACCAUGCCGAUUACCGACCGAGCUCUCAAUGGAAAAAUGCAGUCGGCGUGAACCACGCACGAACACAGCAGAGAAAGAAGAAAACACACACCACGAGGAACCCUAAUAGGACAAUACAUUAUAAGUCACAGUGCUACGGAGAAACCCAGUAGCCACAUGGAAGCAGAGACCAUGCAUAUGCAUCUACUCCGCAGCUCUGUGAAUGUCAGCAGCUCCCACGGACUGGAGAUCCCGUGAGAUCCCGUGAGAUCUCACCCAUAGCCUCAUGGUACAUCCACUUGGUGUGCUGGGAGAGUCAGGAUGAGGACCUGAGAAGAACAGCAGCUUGAACCUGACUUCAUUUAACAGCCCACUGCCCUCUUGCCAAGAACCCAUCACAGACCUUCCCAGAAGAGAGGGAUGAGCCUCACCUAUGAAUAAGUCCUCAGAAACUCAAAUUUGAUUCUAAUGGAUUGUUUUCUCAGAAAGACUGAGCAUGUCCCCCCACAUCUCUGUCAUUUCCCACAGUAGUAACCUCUGCAGAUGCCACAUAGAAAACAAAACAAAACAAAAAAACAUGAGGUUGGUGGGCAGAUAGGCAGGGUAUAAACAAACAGCCUUGUAACCCAGAAGCUGUGUGAUAUACAGUAAACUUCACAACACUGAAAAGAUGUCCUAUCUGUUAAAAUGGGGUAAUAACAACUACCCGAAUGUUUAGGAAUAGAACUUCAAUAAAUGAUACAUUUUAUAGUACAGCAGACCAUCCUGUAAAGGUUUCAUCCUUCACUGUGGUGAUAAAUAUCCCAAACCACAUUGAAAAGCAUUGCAUCUACAUUUAUCUACACUGUAACUGUACUGUAAAUCAUGGGGGAGGGGAGAAUCAUAAAAACACCACCUGUCACCGUGUCAUUAAAGCAAGUUGGAAGUGAUACUUACAGAAACACAGCAAGAGCACCCCCAGUCACACAGUUCAAUCUCUUAGCAAGCGUUUUCUUUCUAGCCCAGUGGUUCUCAGUUUGGAAUUUUUGGCACUGCCUAGAGAUAGUUUUGUUGUUAAAACUGAGAAAAGAGCCGGGCGUGGUGGCACACGCCUUUAAUCCCAGCACUCAGGAGGCAGAGGCAGG
rnacentral:lncRNA from 1 species